rnacentral:lncRNA from 1 species
UAACAAUGAUACUUUUGCGUGUAAAUCAUUCAACAGUCAUUAUUUAUUUUGCGCAAAAGCAAUAAUAAUCUUGACACUUAAUGUGACGCCCCCAAAAUAGGUAUACAUCACCUAUUUUGAAUUGUCAAUACAUAGUACAUAAAUAACUACAACUUUAUUAAUACAACAUAAAAACUGUGAGUUUAAAUACAAAUAUUAUCAUCUAGACAAUAUCCAUACCCAACUAAGUCCUCAUCAUAAUUAUUAAUACAUUAUUUUACAAAAAUGGUGAGGACUACUAAACAACUCUCUCUAGAACCAUCAUUUCAUACCCCGACUCGUACUCGCAACAUUCUCGCCUCCUGAGAAGAAAAAUGGAACAAAAAGAAAAAGGGUGAGCUUAACUAGCCAGUAAAGAACAUUAUGACUAAGAUAAUAUAAAACAAAUUAUCGUUAGUCUUCAACAGGGAAAAAAUCUGAUAAAAUACAAUAGACAACAAGUUUCAGAUCAAUAUUCGCAGUGAAAAUAAUAAUUCAUAGAAGAGUUACGUAGAGAAUGAAAUCUACUAUUAUCUAUGAAUUUAACAGUCCAUCAACAGUAUUUUUAUCCCUGUAACAUCAAUCAAUGCACAUCUUGAAUCAUAUAUUCAUCUUUGCACUACAGGCCAAAGAUAUUCAUCAGUUGGUCAUGUUCAUCUCAACACUUGUUCAUCUUUGCACUACGGGCCAAAGAUAUUCAUCAUAAAAUCAUUAAUCUUUGCACUACAGACCAAAGAUAUUCAGUAAUAUCAUCAUUUAGGACUGGGGAUGAUGAAAAAUAUUUUAAAGAAAACGAAUCCAGUGAAACAAAAGAAUAAGUAUUAAGGAUUUGUAUUUCAGCUAUUUCAUGUCCAAAAAUACCUCAUAAAUAAUCAUAGUGAAGUAAAAUUCAAGAAUGAUCAAAACAUGGAUGCAAUCAAAGCUAGUAUCCAUAAUAGAUAUUUUGGAUGAAAAUUAAAAUUUUUAUUUUUCAAUGAAUAGUGUCGUAUUCGUGAAUAGUGUCGUAUUCGUGAAUAGUAUUGUAUACGUGAAUAGUGUCGUAUACGUGAAUAGUAACUCCGACACAAAAGGUUCCAAAUUUGAUUAAAAGUUCAAAUCAAUACUUCGGAAUAAUGAUAUUGAAAGAAAUAAUAUUAUUUUUUUUAAAAAAUAAUAUCCCUUACCUCGAAAGAAUAGUACUUCUGGCUGGAAUACUGGGUAUAGUGCUGAAGGGAACUUGCACCGUAUAACAAGACUCAAAGUAUCAAAAUACUCACAAGAAUACGCUCAAAAUAUCAAGAGAGGAAGAGAGAGAAAAUUUCAGUUUCUGGUGUAAUUUUUAAUUCUAACCUAAGCACCCUAUUUAUAGGAAAAUGCUUAGAACACCAAAGCAGAAAAUUUAAUAUAAUAUUAAUAUAUAUAAUCAAAUUUCUUACGCCCACUUUUCUAAAUCUGAAUUCAGCCAUAACACAUGUUAAUGAUGCCCCCAAACAUUCCUAAAACGUUUUUGUUAUUUAAAAUAUUUUAAACUUCCAAAAAUUAAUUAUUUUGAAACUUCGGAACUUCAGUAAUUCACAAUAAAUAGCCCUUUUAUCAGAAAAAUUCAAACCACGUGUCUUUUUCAUAGGAAAUUCCAUUAUCUACAACUUUACAGAAGGAAAGUUUUCCAAAUUCUAAACAGAAAUUGAUCGAAAUCCACAAACGGACGAUUUUACAGGCUAUAAUCAAAUUUCAGUUAAGAAAUGGGGUCCACAGACAUGAAAAACAUGUUUUAAAUAUUUUUGGUAACAAAAAUACUCCUCCUCAUAUACUCAUAUAUUCCACAUUCAUUGUAAAAAUAUCACCAUUAUUAUAUUAUUAAAAUAUAAUAAUAUAUUUAAAUAAAUUAUUUUAUCAGAAAAAGAUAAAAUAUUAAUUUUCAACAAUUGUCACAUUAAAAAUUUUCUCCAUCUAUAUCCACGUAAAAUUAAUAUUUUUCUUAUCAUAUAAAUUAAUAAUUAAUUAUUCGCAAAUAAUAUUACAGAAUUACAAUAUUGACAACUAAGCCGUUCCCAGGAUAGAGGGGGCUUUCCAAUAAGAAUUUUUUCUUACUGGCGCGCAAUUAGAUGACCUAACCUCUCUUUAAACAGAACUUUCUAGACAUUGCCAACAAUGUUAUCCAAUAAUAUUAUUCAGAUAGUAUGAAUUAUUGCUCCGAAAAUACUGUGUAAUGACAAUUAUUGAAACAACAGUAAUAUAAAAUAUCAACGCAACAAUUAAUGAAUCAAUAAAAUAAAAUACUGAACAGUAAUUACUGUAACAAUUAUUGAGUAGUGCCUUCUUACGUAAGAAUCAAUAAUUGGUGCAACACCGUGUGCUACUGUGUUUUAACCACCGAGUAUUUUAACAGUAUUAACGGUAACAACUACAUCGUUAUUUAUAAACAACUUAUACUUGUCGUUUUAUUCAUCCAAUCACUUUCCGUUAUGGGGCCCACACAAGGCUGCGCCGUCGUAUGAAUAUUCCCCGACAGUACGAAUAUUCCACGACCAAACGAAUAUUUUAUAACCACUUGCUUAUUUGAAAUAUGUGCGUAUUUUACCCAUAACUAUCCACAUUAAUCAAAUCAACCCUUACUAUUUCAAAAUAAUAAAUAGAGAAAAUUUAAUUUCAUUAAUAAUAAGUUGGGGUCUUACCAAAGAUAUUUAGUAAUAUCAUCAUUUAGGACUGAGGAUGAUGAAAAAUAUUUUAAAGAAAACGAAUUCAGUGAAACAAAAGAACAAAUAUUAAGGAUUCAUACUUUAAACAAUCCGAGUUCAAAAAUAUUUCAUAAAUAGAUAUAGUGGAGUAAAAUUCAAGAAUUAUCAAAACAUGGAUACAAUCAAAGCUAGUAUCCAUAAUAGAUAUUUUGGACAAAAAAUGAAAAUUUAAUUUUUCUGUGAAUAGUGCCGUAUUCGUGAAUAGUGCUGUAUACGUGAAUAGUACCGUAUACGUGAAUAGUAACCCCGACAUUAAAAGACAAGAAUUUCACAAGAAAAAUCUUACCAAUAUUCCGACAUAAUGAUAUUAGAAGAAAUAAUAUCAUUUGAAAAAAAAUAACAUCCCUUACCUCAAAAAGAAUAGUAUUUCUGGCUAGAAUAUCAGAUAUAACGCUGAAAGAACUUGCACCGUAUAGCAACACUCAAAGUACCAAAAUACUCACAAGAAUAUGCUCGAUAAUAUAUAGAGAGAAAACUUCAGUUUUUGGUGUGAUUUUCAAUUCUAACCUAAGCACCCUAUUUAUAGAAAAAUGCUUAGAACACCAAAGCAAAAAAUUUAAUAAAUUAAUAAUAUUUUCAAAACAAUUUUUCUACGCACACCACAAGUCUACAACAUCAGCCACACACCACAAAAAAAGUAACAAAAACGUUUUUCUUAAUUAAAAUAUUUUAAACUUCAAAAAUUAAUUAUUUCAGAACUACAAUAAUUCAUAAUAAAUAGCCCUUUUAUCGAAAAAAUUCAAAUUUUAUGUCCAUUUCAUAGGAAAUUUAAUUAUCUACAACUUUGCAGAAGAAAGUUUUUCCAAAUUCCAAGCCGAAGUUGACCGAAAUCCACAUACGGACGAUUUUAUAGGCUAUAAUCAAAUUUCAGUCAAGAAAUGGGGUCCACAAACAUGAAAAACAUGUUUUAAAAUAUUUUUAGUAACAAAAAUACUCUUCCUCCUCAUAUACUCAUAUAUCCCACAUUCAUUGUAAAAAUAUCACCAUUAUUAUAUUAUUAAAAUAUAAUAAUAUAUUUAAAUGAAUUAUUUUAUCAGAAAAGGUAAAAUAUCAAUUUUNNNNNNNNNNNNNNNNNNNNNNNNNNNNNNNNNNNNNNNNNNNNNNNNNNNNNNNNNNNNNNNNNNNNNNNNNNNNNNNNNNNNNNNNNNNNNNNNNNNNNNNNNNNNNNNNNNNNNNNNNNNNNNNNNNNNNNNNNNNNNNNNNNNNNNNNNNNNNNNNNNNNNNNNNNNNNNNNNNNNNNNNNNNNNNUUAUCUAAUAAUAUUAUUCAAAUAAUAUGAAUUAUUGAUCUGAUAAUGAAAAUACUGUGUAGUGACAAUUAUUGAAACAACAAUAAUAUAAAAUAUCAACGUAGCAAUUAUUGAAUCAAUAAAAUAAAAUAUUAAACACUAAUUACUGUAACAAUUAUUGAAUAGUGCCUUCUUACGUAAGAAUCAAUAAUUGGUGCAAUACCAUGUGCUACUGUGUUUUAACCACCGGGUAUUCCAACAGUAUUAACGGUAACAACUACGCCGUUAUUUAUAAACAACUUAUACUUGUCGUUUUCUUUAUCCAAUCGUUUUCCGUUAUGGGGUCCACACAAGGCUGCGCCGUCGUACGAAUAUUCCCCGACAGUAAGAAUAUUCCACGACCAAACGAAUAUUCUCCGAUAAAAAUGAAUAUUUUAUAACCACUUGCUUAUUUAAAAUAUUUGCGUAUUUUACCCAUAACUAACCACAUUAAUCAAAUCAACCCUUACUAUUUCAAAAUAAUAAAUAGAGAAAAUUCAAUUUCAUUAAUAAUAAGUUGGGGUCUUACAUAGUUUCUUUUUACGUAAUAAUUAAAUACAGUCUGUUAAUGUCAAAUGGGUUUGUAGUCAAAAUUUUGAUUAAAUGUGCUUCCCCAUUACAUAAGGGAACUUCGCUUAAUUAGAAAGGCCAGGAAGGCUACAAAGAAACAGAAUCGUGGUGGUGCAGAGGAGCUCAAAGGCUUAGACACUCACACACCCAGAGAAAUGGUGGAGAUUGAUCAUUGUGAAUUUUGGGUUCACCUUCUUUUUUGGUUCCCGGGAAAAUAUGCAUUUGAGAAUACAUAAUUUUCAAUACACAUUAAACCAAGUAACAAAAAUUUUGUCCCAAUUAAUCUGUACUAUUGACGAAACAAAACCCAAUUAGAAAAAAUCAACAUAAUAGAGAGGCAUUAGCUUCUUCUUUCCCUGUUAUGUACAAAUAGAUUUGUAUAUGAAACAAAUUGAGAAUUUAUAUGUAGAUAUAUGUAUAGCUUACUGUAUAUGAAACAAAUUGCGGCAUUAACUUACUGUAAUGCUUCGGCAUGGCUGCUGAUCGUCAUGUCGACGGACGGAGGAAGCGAGAACAGAAAUAAUGGAGGGAUUUCAGUCAAUCGCCGGUGUAAUUGGAAGGGAUUUGGAGAUGGAGGAGAGUACAAAGGAAGGAGAAGACGAAAUGAGAAGGAGCAGAUGUAUAAGGCGAGAUUUGGGUAGCGUGUAAGGGGGGUUGAUUUGAGCGGGUUUUUUUUGUGAAAUGAAAGGUCAGCCAUUGAAUUAAAUUGUAAAAACUGAGAUUCAAUCUAAAUCGCUAUUGUGCUUUAGAUUCAAAUUUGGUCCUGAUUUAUUAUAUAGAUUUAUUGAGUUUUAAAAUGAUUGUAAAAAAAUAUAUGAGAAAACGGAUGAAAAUUUAAGUUUUUAUAUAAUUUUAGUGUUUCUGAGCCAUUUAAUGUAUAAAAAUUUAAAGAAAUAGAUGUAAAAUUUGAUUACUUUUCUUGUCAAAAUUUUUUGUUUAAAAAUAAACAAAUUCAAACAAAAAAUUAAAUAACAUAAACAUAUAUUUUAUAAUUCUUAUCAUACCAUGUAUAUUAUAAACACAAUAAAACUAAUAAAAAGAUAAAUUAAUAAUUUAAAUGCAAAACUAAAGUCUUAUUUUUUUUUUAUAAAUUUAAUAACAAUAUAAAAGAAAACUUUAAAUUUUUUUAUUAUAAUUAUUUUUCAAUUCAAACUCGAAAACAUAAAUAUUAGAAACCGAAUAAAUCCAUUAUGCAUUAACCAUCUUGAGUAAAUUAAGAGUAAGUUAAUAAUUUAAAGAAUUAAUAUUUUUAACACUAAGUUUACCUAUAUGAUAUAAAUUUUUUUUAAGGAAUAGUGAUAUUUGAGUUUAAUUAAUAUAGUUUAAAUAUUAACCAUGAGUGUGUGAUUGAAGUCAAAAUUAUGGGCAGCCUCGUAAAUUCGUCUUUGUAAGAUUAGAUAAAAGUAAAGAGUUGAGGCAAGUCACGUUAUAAAACAAGCAUUAUUAUUACAAUUUUCAAAGCAGCUAACAGAUCCCUCCUCCUGACAUAUAUGCUUUCCCUCCUCUUCUCUAUCUCAUAAUUGUGUGUGCAGCAAGCUUUAAUCACAACUUUUCUACGUCCCAUUUCACCUCUCUUUCUCUCUCUCACACACACACUUCAAACAGUAAUGGUAGAACUCUCAAGCUCUAACAAUGGCGGAGAACCUCUCGAAGCUCACCGUCUCAGCGAAGAUAUGGACAGCACCUGUUCCACUCCUUACGUCAGCGCCCCUUCCAGUCCCAGCCGCGGUCCCUCCGGUUACUUCUUCAGUGCUCCGGCGAGUCCGAUGCACUACUAUUUUUCCAAAGCUCCGUCGUCUUCUUCUCAGCUGCAGUUGACCUCUGCGGAGUCAUUCACUUCGUCUGGAUCGUUUGAGUUUGAGUUUUCUUCUAGGUUUUCACCUAGUAGUCCCACGGGAAAUGGAUCCAUGAGCUCGGCGGAUGAGUUGUUUCUGAACGGUCAGAUCCGGCCGAUGAAGCUUUCGUCUCACUUGCAGAGGCCUCAGUUUUUAGCUCCAUUGCUGGACCUGGAGAUCGAAGAUGAAGACGAUGAAUGUAGCGAGAAUUGCGAAGUUAAGGUGACGAGAGGGAGGGAUCUGAGAUUGCGCAAUCGAUCUCUUCAUCGGAAAGCUAGAUCUCUCUCUCCUCUCCGAGGCGGCGAGUGUAUUCGUGAAGCGCGUGAGUUUCUGGAGUUGGAGGAUAAUGGUAAGACCAAUGAAAAGAUUGGUGAAACGAGUGGCGAUACCGACGUGCCAUCACUUGAAACGACACCGUCCGGUUCAGCUUCAUCGUCAAGGUCCUCAUCUUCCGGUCGUAACUCGAAGAAAUGGAUAUUUCUGAAGGAUCUUUUGUACCGAAGCAAAAGCGAAGGUAGAGGGAAUAGUAAGGAGAAGUUCUGGUCAACGAUCUCUUUUUCUCAGUCGGCAAGAGAGAGGAAACUCUCUUCGCCGUCUCUCACGCCGUCGUCUUCUAGAGACGAGAAGGAUAGAACUCCAAACCAGAAACGGAGUAAGCAACAAACGGCCAAAAAAUCAGGUGCCGGAGGAAAGCCUGCAAAUGGAGUAUCUAAACGAAGAGUUCCAUUAUCGGCUCACGAGUUACAUUACACCACAAACAGAGCGCAGGCUGAGGAGAUGAAGAAGAAGACAUUUUUGCCGUACAGGCAAGGUUUGCUUGGUUGCCUAGGAUUUAGUUCCAAAGGUUAUGGCGCCCUUAGUGGAUUCACUAGAACUUUGAAUCCUGUUUCAUCGAGGUAAAAUUAAAAUUAAAAGAUUAUCUGUAUAGAUCUCGCACUAGAGAAUAUUACUUUAUUAGUUUGUGUAAUCCGAAUGGCUUUGUUAAUGCUUAUUUACGGUAAUAGAAGCUUUAAUUUAUUAAAAUGGCCAUUUUAUUAUUUGCUUCUUUAUUUACUUGUGAUUCUUAAAAACAUUAAUUAAUGCUAUAUGAUGGAUCUCAAAGCCAGGCAACAAUGGUGGCAAUUUAAAUAUCGAUAUCAAAUACUACAUGUAUCAAAAAGAAGUUAAAAAUAUAUUUCGAAGCCAUUUAUUUCCCAUUAAAUGUCAGUUGGAUAUGAAGUUCAGUUCAUAUAGAUCAUAUGCUGUAGAUUAUUGUGAAUCCAGUGACAAUAUGUUCUUGUGGAGAGUUUAUCAGGGUUGGGUACCCCGAAUCACAUUUACUUUAGAACAAGUUUUUUGAUUAUUUUGUUUCUAUUCUAAAUUUGUUGUGGAAAGUGUGGGAGGCAUAUACUACUACUAUACUAAUGUGAUAGUGUAAUAAAGUAAUGAUAGUCAUAUCAUAGAUCCACGGUCCACCUGUUGUAAUGCAUGAAAAUGGCUGAUGAUCUAGCAUGGGAUUUUUUGUCAAGUUUGUUGGUGUUGUCAAUAUUUUCUUAAUCCAAAAUCAUUUAUAUGUAUCUGAUACACCACGUGGGCAAAGAUUGGUUGAGUACUCUGUUUGGUGCAUCUGCCCCACACUUGUAAAGUUAUGAAUGUGAAUGUGUCCUUUUUGUUCGUUCCUAAUUGGGUGUUUUUCGAAAGUGUUUGCAAGUUGCAACCAGUUAUUGGAUGAGGUAUGGUGGUUGGAUUUGGGAUUAGAUGUUGAUACAUACUAAUUGGGUGUUUCUCUAAAGUGUUUCCAUGUAGUGCUUCUAAUUUCUAAUACUACUGGUAUUUAUUUUAAAAUCACGUAUAUCAGAAUUUAUUCGGGAUUUCACGUUUUUUUAUAUCACCACCUGGGUUUUAAAAAUUGACACUUAAACACCUGUAGUUGUCAGGUGAAGUGAAAAAUACGUUUCGAUCGGUCUUAACACUGUUACCUAAAGUGUGUAAAGACAAUUAUACUCUUUUUAAAAUAUUUUCUAUUUCUCGUUCAACCUUCAUCUACUCCAUUAGAACACCAUUCACCUUCAUCAACUCUAUUUUUCAGCCAAAAAAAUCAUCCAACUACGAUCCAAACUCAACCCCAGACCGUUGAAAACCAUUUAGUUUCCUACAGACAAUCAAAUCAUCCAUAAACAUCUUACAAUUCAUCACCAAACCUUAGAUAAACCAUGGUUCAUUCCUUGGUUUGCAUAACAUGAUAUUUUCAACAAAAAUCCAUUAAAACCUUAUGUAAUCCCUAAAUUAAAGCAUGCAAACCUUUAGGCUUUGUCCCUUAAUCAAAUUCGUGCACAAUCAACCGUAAGAAAACCAAAAACAGGAAAAAAAUUUCCAAAUAUUGACGGAAAACUUGUUCAAGCAAAUUUGUGCAAGAUUAAACCCACUUGCUUUUAAGCUCUAUCGGUCGAAAACUCGAGAAAACCUAACUUUUAGCCGACAAACUCCUUCAAUUUGAGUUCAAAAUUCACUGGGUUUUGUGCCUUUGCCAAAUAUGAUAAAAUGGUGUGGAAAUUGGUACCAAAACAUGCACAUCCAAAUCCCACAUGAAAAAACAGGUGGCGGCAGAUAGAUGCAAGCAAGGAUUCACCCAAAUUUGUAACUAAAAACAUGUACAUAAUUUUCUUCAUUGAGAUCAAUAUUAAUGAUAAAACUCAUCCUUGCACCAAAUCUGAUUUAGGUUGAAUUUGUACUUGUGUUCGUUUUGUGAAAAUCACUCCUUUCCUUGGUGAACAAGUUAUAUGGUUAGGCCAGCUUUGUGUACACAAGGUAGGCCUUUGGUUUAUGAAAACAUGCAGUUGUCACUUGACAUUUUUAAGUUAAAUGAAAGAAGGGAACCUGGAGAGAAGGUAGGUAGGUACCACUCACUGGCUGGCCUUGGAUUCCCUUAAGAAAAACCACCUUCCUCCUAUAUCCGCUGUGCCUGCCUGCCUGCCUGCCUGCCUGUGCAGAUAUUCUACUACUACCACUACUACUACUUUUUGUUGCAGCAGUGGGCAAUGGGUACCAUGUGACUGCCUGAGCAUUCUGGGCUGGCCUAUUUCAUAUUUCUGGUCUCCUAAUAAUAUCAUUGUCCUUCAUUUUGGCGUUUUCUUCUUUGGCGUCUUCCCUUCUUUCCAAUUUGUAUACUUAUCCCUUGACCUGAUGCGGU